GCGCGAAACCUUCACAAUGCACGAAAGUGUGAUGAGGGUACUCCGAGUGCGCAUACAUUGUAUGUGCUUUUCUGCAGCGUAAAUAGUUGCAGGAAUAAGGGCUGGGCAAGACCGGUGCCAGCCGCCGCGGUAACACCGGCAGCCCUAGUGGUGGCCGCUUUUAUUGGGCCUAAAGCGUCCGUAGCCGGACAGGCAAGUCUUUGGGUAAAUCCUACGUCUUAAGCGUGGGAAUUCUAAAGAUACUACCUGUCUUGAGGCCGGGAGAGGCUGGAGGUACUCCUGGGGUAGGGGUAAAAUCCUAUAAUCCUGGGGGACCACCGAUGGCGAAGGCAUCCAGCUGGAACGGGCCUGACGGUGAGGGACGAAACCCAGGGGAGCGAGCCGGAUUAGAGACCCCGUGUA
rnacentral:rRNA from 1 species